ACGGAGGAUCCGAGCGUUAUCCGGAUUUAUUGGGUUUAAAGGGAGCGUAGGCGGAAGCUUAAGUCAGUUGUGAAAGUUUGCGGCUCAACCGUAAAAUUGCAGUUGAUACUGGGUUUCUUGAGUGCAGUAGAGGUAGGCGGAAUUCGUGGUGUAGCGGUGAAAUGCUUAGAUAUCACGAAGAACUCCGAUUGCGAAGGCAGCUUACUGGACUGUAACUGACGCUGAUGCUCGAAAGUGUGGGUAUCAAACAG
rnacentral:rRNA from 1 species